AGGAUUAACUUUGAAAAGAAGGCUAAUCCCAGACAAGGAGGCUAAACCCAAUGCCUACAUCAUAGUUUUCUAGUUGACUUUUCAGAUGGCUACGCAUCAUGUAAUGUGCUGGGAGUUCAAGAGUUAAUGCUCCAGUUCUGUGGAUCAUGGACAGUUCCGGGUACCCGGUUCUCAGAAGAGUAGGAGAACUACAUAUCCCAGAGGACUUUUCAUUUCUGUUUGGGAAAUGUUUCUGUAUGUGGGAAACAUAAAAUUGUUCACAGAUCA